CCGAAAGAUUAAAAAAAGGGGGAAAAAUAAGAAAACAAAAAGGAAAAAUAGCAAAAGAUGGAAACUAACACAAUUCAUGGAAUUUAGAGAACAAAAAAUGCCCUCCCUUUCAAAAACACUUCAAAUGCUAAGAAGAUCAGGUGGCGGUGAUUGAGGCGGCGGUGGCUGUUGAUGGUCUUUUUGGUCUUUAGUUGUUGCAAUUGGAGAGUCUAGAUUAGUAGCUGAUUGAGCUGAGGAGUCUAUAAUUGUUGAGUCUCCUUGUUUUGAGCUUGGUGGCUUAGGAAUCUCUGUUAGAAUCUGCACAACUUCUCGCAUUGUUGGGCGUUCUAUGGCCUGUUCUUCCACACAGAGGAUUGCAACAUAGAAUACAUGCAUCACCUCAUGGAGGGGAACCGAUGGGAGUCUUGGGUCCAGGACUUUCAGAAC
rnacentral:misc_RNA from 1 species